UAGGUUUUUUUCCCAAAUUAUUUUUUCCUCUCUCUAAGCCAUCACUCUUCUUCUCUCUCUCUCCAUCCCCAUUGCCAUCCUCACCGCCACUGCCAAAAGCUCUUUGGCUCUCGCUAUCAAUUGAGCGCCACCCCGACGUCGUCUUCUUCCUCCAACAAUCAGAAGAAGUUGGAGGACGAUUUCGACACGUUCACCGCUUUGAAAGCCGCCGAUCUGGCGAGGCCGCUGAGGGAGGCGCAGAUCCCCUACAAGAUCCACAUCGUGAAGGAUCACGACAUGAAGGAGAGGCUGAGCCUCGAGGUCGAGAGGCUCGGACUCAGUGCUGUCAUCAUGGGAAGCAGGGGAUUCGGCACCGUUCACCGCGCAACGAUGACGGCGGCGUCAGCGAUUACUGCGUCCACCACUGCAUCUGUCCCAUCGUCAUCGUCUGCUAUCCCAAAGAUAAGGAUGCCGUCGCUGAAGCUGUCCUCACCAUCAAGGAAGGGGAGGAGGACGAUGAGGCUGUGAUCAAGACUGUCCCCAUUGAAGGUGUCCAUGAGAAAGGUUGGAUAUAGGCACAUUGAUUGUGCUUAAGUUUACGACAAUGAGAAGGAGGUGUACUGAUCACAUGCCAGAAGAUGUACCAAAGGCAUUAGAUAAAACCUUGCAGGACUUGCAACUUGACUAUGUGGAUCUGUAUCUAAUCCACUGGCCAGUUAGCAUGGGCAGCGACUGUAUCGAAGGCUAUCGGCUUUGGGAGCCAGCGGAGGGAGCGUGGCAGAGACGUUAAAUGGUUACGUCCACAAUGGCAAUUCCGUCCAUAAAGCAACUCUCAAAAAGUGUGUUAAGGAGCUCUGCAAGUACGGCAGGUUUCAACAUGCCCUUCAGCAGGUUAAUGUGACAAUAUAUGGUUGGGUUAUAAUUAGGAAAAGCGCUGUUCUUGGUUCGGUGACCAUUCAAGUUGAAAGUGAAGGUCAAACUGGUGCAGUAUGGCAUACAUUGGAUAGCACGUCAGGGCAGGUUUGUCUGGACAUUAGAACAAUAAAACUGUCCGCAAAUUCUCUCGGGUAGCUUUUUGUUGUACUUUUUCUAAAAAUGUUUUGCGUUUAAUUAUAUUGGUUGACUCAUCAAUCUCUCUCUCUAAAUAUAGACACACACUUAUGUAAUCCCAAAUUGAACUGUUUUUGGGGUACAUGGCUUUGUACUUGUGCAGAGAAUGUACCCUCGUUUUGGAAAUUUUAUGUGUUUUGCAUCCUGGAAAUUGUUAUAGAACGUUUUUAUAUUGUUUGUACUUCAA